GCGUAGUAUGAUCCUGUUUAUCUUAAUGAAGUUGAAUAAUAUUUGCUAUUAUAAAUGUUUUACUCUCGUGUCUUAGAGAUAAUAGUAAUACUCCGCUAUCAGCUUUCGUGCUGUUUGUGCCUUUGAUUUGAAAGUCCUUUUGUACUUCUUAAUAAACUAACCGAUCAGUAAUGUUUAUUUUAUAGACCUACUGUUGUGCACACGAGCAUGCAAUAAGUCAUCAAGAGCUGGUAGUGGCGUCUCGGUUGACGAUUCCAUUUUUAGGGGGCGCUGAGUGGAGUAGCAUGAACGUACGGUAGACCGGGCAUUUUAAAUUGAGUUUCUUCGGAAGCCAUUUGGUGUAAAGUGUACUUCACACUCUUGCCACGAGGCGACGCACUCGACUUUUUUCAAGACCCGGGGCUGAAUAUGCAUAGUGUGCUUGGAAGCUAAAUAGUAUACCUGUCCUGUAAUUUCUGCAUGUAAAUGAAUUUGAACAUGUAAAACGCCACCUAUUACAAGCUAUGCUGUGGGACAUCUCAACUAGUAUUAUGUAGCCUAUUUUGAAUUUGCUUUUAGGUUUUUUGCUUGAGAGUUUGUGUUCCACGAGGGAGCAGUUGAGAGGCGCCGUUUUUCCUGUAAUGACAGGCAAUUCACUCCUGACGAAGCGGCGGGCGGGUUCGCGGCGUUAUGUAAGAGGGGUAAUUUUUCCCGCCUCGCUGUCUCUCCCUCCUCCAUGUUUUUGUUUUUCUGAAUGAGCCGCUCCCUCCCUUGCCUAGGCCUCACAGCCUGCCCAGUAGGCCCCUUUCCUGGAAAUGUAGCCUCACACAGAGGCCACACAGGGGCAAGGCUGGUGGGAGGGGGAGAGACUGCUUCCUGCAAAUCACAUGACUCAGGACAGCGUCUGUUCCCCUUGUCUGAGUUGUAUAAAACCUCAGCUGUUGGCAGAGAGGACCAGUCAAACCCCUGUGUAUUCCUCUCCUAGUUUGCGUAUGUGAGCUCCUGUUUUACACAAGCAGUGCCUGUGUACCCUUACAUUUCAUUUUCAUCUAUUGCUUUUAUUUAUUUUAUUUUUUGGCAAUUUUAUUUUUUGGCAAUUCUCAGAAUAUAAAUUAACACAUUAAAUAUAGGCUUUUCAUGGUGAAAAAUAUGUAGAACUCCAGAUCAUUUAGACCAGGUGGCACUUAGCAUCAUCUAGCAUCAAGUUUUUAAAGUUUUUGGACCAUUCUGGCAUGUGUUUUUUGAGCAACCAAACAAACAAAACGGAACUGAAACAGGAGGUCCAAUUAAGAGGCAAAGAAUUUGAUCAAAUAGCCAAGUAAAACAUCUGGUUCUGUUGUUGCAGCUAUGACUUUAAAAUGCUGCCCAUGCUUAAACCCUGACCCCUGUUCAAGUUUUUAAAACUUAUUCAAUCCCUUGCCCUUCAUAUUUAUUUGUUGGCUUUUUAUUUAAAAAAAAUAAAAACUUCUAAAAAAUGUCUUUUUUUUCUGGUCUCCAUUUGUUUUUUUCUUUAAUAUUAGUCUUGUUGUGUGUUUUUAGAGUAUGGGGUAGAGACAGUGUUAUUCAAUGUUAUACCUCAUGUAUUGCUUAGUUAACAUACAGUUUUAUAUUUUAACCAGUCAAUAGUGCAACUGUUUAGUGGACUUACAUUGAAUAUCCAUAUAGAGAGGACGUAUGGUGUCAGACCUUUAGCGCUGGUAGAAAUGGCAUACUUUACAUUAAAAUUAAAUGUUUAUUAUUUUCUUGUUGAAAAUCCUUCUGAAAACUAAGUAUGAAUCUUUGUUGUAUGGUUUAACACUUUAAAUGCAAGAAAAUACUGAUUGCACCUGAUCUUUAAUUUAUUCUGCUGCUAUUCCAUGAUUUAUAUGCACUAUAUUAAUUGUAUUUGUGUGCAUAUGUUUUACAACAAUUGUUUUUCUUUAGACUAAAAAGGCCAGGUACUGUCAUUAGAUAUUAUUUUAUUCUUAUGUCCCUCUAUAUUGCUGUACUUGUUGAAGUGGUAUGAUAUAGGUGAAUUAAUUUAGGAUAAAUAUUUAUUAAUUGAUUGUGCUGGUUCCACACCAUUAUGUGUGCAGUACCACAGGUUAUAUGCCAUCAGUAAAUAUUAAAAAUAGUGACAAGAUCCAAGUGUCUGUAAGACAUUCUCAUACCUUAUUGUUUUCUUAGCCAGAAGAACAGCAUGCAGGCACUUCCUGUAGUGCCACCCCCCUCCCUCCCACAUUGUUCAUUGCACAAGACAGCAACCAGUAUGGCUGAAGAGCAUGUAUCACUGCUUGUGGAGUUUAAAACAUUUAUCUACACAUUCUCAGUGCUUAGACAUACCCUUAGAAACAUGGUCACCUGACUCAGAUUGCUUAUGUUUAUGGAGCUUAUGGAUGAUUGUACAGAGUGUUAAGUGAUUGUUCGCUGCUUUGAAUAUUUAUAACACAUUAACUGCAAUAAAUAUAAACAUAAUGGGACUCAUUCACGAAACGUGUACAAUCACAUUUGAUCGUAUACUGUACAAAUAGGCAGCAUUCAUCAUAUCAUGCACCUGGGAUAUGCACAAAAACAAAGGUCUGCACAUGUGUCAUGAAUCCCGUAUUGUUUUUUGUUUUUUUGUAGGAACAUUUUUAAGAACAAAAGUAAGAAUAAUUUAAGAAAAGUUUUGUGAAUGAGACCAAAUGUCAUUCCUGGCAUCUGUACUGUGUUAUUGUUCUGUAUUCUUCCUUAUCUUGGCGUGCAGAAUUCACCUGUCAUGAUUGAAUGUCCACCAUCUCCAUCUACCUUGCGUUGUUAUGACCGCUUUCUCAAUACUUACAAAUACUCAGCAAGUCAAAUAUUUUUAUGUUUGCUCUUUCAUACAUUCAGCAGGCAUUGUUUUUGUGCUACAUGCUAUGUCUGAAUAUAGGAAUAGGUUGAAAAAAGACCCAUGUUUAGUAAUGGAUUGUACAUUCACAUCCCCAAUAUGUCUGGAGAAUAUAUUGUGUUCUCACAAUAAAAUAUAUUGUGUUUAUCUGACUGUUUCUUCCCGAUUACCAAAUAUUAUAUAGCAGUGUUAAUUUUUAUCAACCAUUUUGUUGUAUCUGUGUCACUAGAUAAGCUGUACUAACAUAAGGUUAAUUUCUUCUGUAUUAAAUCCGUUGUUUUUA